rnacentral:ncRNA from 1 species
CAAAUCUCAAAGGGGUGCCGAACAGGCUGAGAUCAUACCCGUAGAACCUGGGCAGGUAAUGCUGCCAAGGGAAUAUAGAGCAAGGAAUGC